GAGCACUUUCUGGAGUCCGGUUGCUGAGGGUGAACUCAAUGGCUUGUUGUGGAGUUGGAGGUGAAUGGGUGUCCGACUCCUACUGCAUAAUCCCGUCCAGAAACAGACCAGUCCAGUUCUGACAAACUUGGCUCUUCUUUCCUCUUGGCACUGGCAUUCCUUUUGAGUUUGAGAUCCUGUAUUCAUCUGUUUGGCAUCUGUAGAUCACAGGGCCAGACUAACAGCCAGAGUUCUUUGCAUCUCCCCUUUGAUCUAGCAUUCACAGGUACAUGAAAAUCAUACUAUAAACCCUCCAACCUAUUCUGGUCUGUACUCUCAACUACCGCCUUUAUCUAACUUUCACAUACCAAGCCAAUAUUUCCUCCACUUUAAAUCACCCAGGGCCAGGUACCAGAC